GCCCGCUUAGCUCAGUGGUAGAGCACACGCUUCACACGCGUGUGGCCGUAGGUUCGAGUCCUACAGCGGGCACCA
rnacentral:tRNA from 1 species